AGUCGAGGAACAGCGGGCAGCAGGGGGACAUGGACGGAGCCCGGCGCCUCGGCCGCAUGGCCAGGCUGCUCAGCAUCGUCUCCAUUAUCCUGGGGACCAUCAUCAUCGUGCUCUACGUGUCACUCAGCGUCAGAGUUUCCUAGAAGACAUUUCAGCAUGCAAAUACCUCGAAGAGGAGGAAGACAACUUUCCUUUUGGGGUUUUUACUUUCAGCCUUGCAACAAAAAUUGUCACGGUAUAAGUGGACAGCCCUGGGAAAAGUCUGCUCUGGAGCGCCAUCUGAAGAAAUGCAUGCAUCUACUUCACAGCCUCUUGGAAGAUGAAUUUGUACAAAACUAAAGGAUUGGAUAAUAAAUCGCAACAAGCAAUGGGAGAGAACAUCAGAUCCCAAGUGGAGUGGAGAAGGGGGAAAUCCACUACCUCAUUCCCCUCCAGCAAAACUCACGGAGUGGGGAGACAACUAUCGUCAAAAUGCAAGAGGAGGAGAGAAUUUCAAGAACGAAGCUUAUUUCAAAGAAAAUGUAAGGAGAGAACAGGACAUUUUGAGGAGUCCUCCUGAGAAUUUUGGCGCAAGCUACUGUAUUUUGGGAGGGGCUGUUGGUUUUUAAAAUUGUCAAAUUCUCUAUCUCUACAAAAAAAGCUCAAACUGCCAUCAGGAGAUGAAAUCUGUUCCACGAAGGAGGAGGGAGAGCAGAACCGCAGAAGAAACAUAGCUCUGCUCUGAACAACACACAGCUAUAAAAGCUGGAGGAUGUGGUGGGUGUUUUUGUAUUUUUGAUGAAAAAAGAGACAAUGACCAUUUGCAUGCCUUUGGGAAUGUUCUCCAUGUCCGUUCAUACAAGCUCUUUUAUCACUUACAGCAUAUGCCAGAGCUGGGAGAGCAGGAUGUUGCUGCAUGAAAACGCCAGGCUCCUCCUCACCUGGACCCCAUGUUGGGGUUUUUAACGGAAGGAAAAAUGUUUUCUCUGUGAAACUACACAUUCCUUUUUCUCUGUGCAUCCAAAGUGAGGUUAAUACUUGUGGCACUGAGAAAAGGGCCUGGUUUAUCUGUGGCAGCAGUACCAAGGCACAGAGAGCCCAUUCUACCCACUUAAGCAUUUAUAUCAUGUCACAUCAUGUCAUGUCUGUCAUAGAAAAGCUAAAGCAUGACCCAGACUCCAUCACCGGCAGUGCUGAUCUCCCCUGACCCUUCUGGGCUUCAGCUUAGGGAUGACCAAGGAGAUUUCUUCAGAGGCACAGAGGAGUUUAAAAUCCCUGCUCCUCUCCCUAAAUCUCUCACUCUCUUCCACAUCCCUGAGUAUCUCCAGCGUCCCAGGAGCUGGCUGGGGUCAAUUCCAUAGGUAUUAUUUUUUAAUGUUUUAUAUUAAAAAAAAAAAAAGACUUAGCUCUUCCAGAUCUGCUCAACUGCACCCUGACUCCACCAAGUCUUCCACAGCAUGUGGCUCCCUCGGACGUUUUCCGCAGACUUAGCUCCCGACGCUCUCCCUGCCCAGCCUUGUCCCAUAUUGCACCAUCUCUCAUCCCCUCCUUGCUGCGAUUCGUUACUGGGUAUGGUGCUAUAUUCAGCCACCCAGACUAUGCAAAGCUUCAUUGCCUUUUUUUUUUUAAUUUGUUUUGAUUUGGGUUUUUUGUUUUUGUUUUUUUAAAUUCAGGCUUUGUAGAUGGCUUCUGGCUAUAGCCACUGGCUCUAUAUUAGCUGAAAAUCUCUCCUUUCUGAGAGCUUUGCAGACACAGAGCUGCACUCCCUGGCCUUUCUGUUGUCUGCAGCUAACAACCCAGAUAUAUAGACUGCACUGAGAAAUAAGGUGCUCCAGGGCACUUCCUUCGCUCUGUACCAUGAAUCUCUUGGAAAAACUUGAGAUCAAAUCUAAUGCUUCUGAGUGCUUGUCUACAUGAGGAAUUUACUGCACAGUAAGGCAGGCUACAAGAACCUUCAUAACAUCGUGACUCUUUGGCAUUAGCUUCCUUCCUGGGCGAUCCGAGUGGGGAAAUCCCUCGCGCACAGGGCACACGAGUCCACGCAGGGAGUGGAGCACAGAAGAGCUGAUGUGCCAUAAAUUCGCCCCGCGGUUACUGUGCGGUAACUAACUUGCAGAGCCAUGGCCUUAGCUGUGAAGAAUCUCAUCACCCAUUUGUUUGCUCCUCAUUAAAACAUUUUAUUUUGCUAGACAUUAUUUGACAGGGGACAAGAGAGCCAAAUCCCCUAGACACACUGCUAAUAUUUUUCUUUAGAUCAGAUGGGAUCGCAGGGACUCAGAGCAAUAGCACAUCACUACAGCACUUUCCUGAGCUACAUUCCCAACCACCCCAUUCCCAGGGAUUUAUUAGAAACUAACAGCUUCUAAAAUGGACCACAUUUCCAACCUUUCUCUUGCAGUUCGUUUUUGGUGCUUAGGGACAGCUUUGCGAGCUUUAGCGAACAGUGAGCCGAGGGCAGCUGAAAUGCGGCAGUCUCGAGCUGAGCACUGCCCGGCCUCAUCACGUGUAAAUCCCCCCCCCCGCAGCCACUAUCAGGGAGCCCCUUGGGAAUCACAUCUCUUGUCCCAUUAUUCAUCAGAAACUCUCCCUUUGAGACAAAAACUCUGUCACCUUAUGGUGGACUGCAGAUGACGUUUCUGUCCCAACAAAUCCCCAAACAAUUCCUUUGUAACACUUGAACCCAGAAGCCGCUUACUGUGUAACAUGCGUUAUUUUUUCUGACAUUCAUUACCACAGUGCGAACUGUCCAUGCAUCUUCUUACCCUUUACUCUUUGAGCUGCUGAAAUUCAGCUUAUGGUAAGGGCUGAGAAAGAUCCUCCUAGAACAGGAAGAGCUGAUAUUCAAGGAAAACUGCAGCAAUGAAUUACACUACUUCAGAGAGUCCAAUAUUUAUUAAAUAAAAAUGUAAAUGCUAUUUUAUCAUCAUAUAAAGCCUUUCAUCGAAAGAGCCUAACGUGCUUUACCACAUUUAAAGAAUUAAACCUUGCAACCCCAUGUGAGGUGGUUUAGCAUUACACUGCUUAAUUGCACAGAUGGCAAAGUUGCUGAAGGUUGCAUACCCUGUACAGCUAGGGAGAGAAACCAGUUACUCUUUCUUGCCCUUAAUAUAAAUAUGUACAAGGGAACAUGUAUUUCCUUGCAAUGUGAUUUUCUCUAGUGGGAACUAUGCAGACAAACACACUCUACACUUUGCAGAAUAGACCGGCAUACCUGUCAUUGCCGUCCUAACUGAUGGGGCUUCGCGAAACGGCUAGGAGUCCUAGGCUGGUGAAGCAGACAGCAACAAGCUCCUUUCAUUUUUCAGUCUUCUUUCUGAUUAGAUAUAAUUGCACUGCUCUGCACUCAUGAAUACAUCUUAGACCCAGCUGAAAGCCUCUACAGUUAUUUCUGAGCAACAAAUUAUUAUACACAUAUACACACAUAUAUGUAUUUUUUUUCACGUUUUCUUGUUGCCUGGGUCUCUUGAGCUCAACACAGCGUUACAGAAAUAAACUCCACAGGAUUACCUAGAAACAGGGCCUCUUUACCCUGCUCUCUGACAACUUGCUCAUCUAUUUGCAACUCAACAUUUUGUAAAGGUUUUUGCCACUAGAUCCUUAGGAAGUUGCUCUCCAUUUCACUCUCUCUUUUUACCCCAGCUCCGUGGCCCAUUUUGUUCUUUCAGUUGCAGCCUUUCACUGAAUGUCUUAGAUGUAUCAGCUAGCGUUUGCAAAGGAAGAAUUCGAUCACCUCCCCCAACCCUUGUCUCAUACUUCAAACGUUACUGUGUUAUGAGGAACUAAAUCACGGCAGAACGCCAUCCCGAGGCAUUCCUCCUUCGCUCUACCUCUGGGAAACAAACAGCUGCCACAUUAUUUGCCAAUUCCGAAGCAUUUUUAAAAGGCCAAUAGUAUCAGAAUUGAAUCAGAAGAAACCCCUCGCCCCAAAGCAUCCUUCAUGAAUUUUUGCUGAGUUAGUUUCUAACUAAGCACAAGUAAUCUUGUUUUCCAAAUCGAGGCACAACUCCUCCUCUGCCUUGACUUUGUUUUUAGAACACAGGAGGGCGAUCACAAAAAGUAUGUCACAGAAAGACUUUUCCAUCUCCACAACUAAGACCUAUUACUUAUGUCACAGCUCUUUGCCACCUGCUGCAGCAUCCUGUAAGCACGCACACGUUAGCAGCGAGUUUUCUAUGUGUCUGCAACUACCAGUCACGAAAUCCUCAGAAUCUGGCCAACCUCUACCCCCCAUGGAAGUAGGGAAGAGAGGAGAGGCGAGAGAUACGAGUGAUGCUGUGGAAAUCCAGCCUUACCUGACAGCGAAGUUAGCUGGUAGGAGGAUAGCUUGCUGAAGAGAUAGAGAAGGUGGGAAACGUAUCUAAAUGUAAGUCCAAGUAGGAGUUACGAUCGACAAGUGUGAGGUCCUGAUGGUAUAUAAAUAAGUGGCUUGCACUGCUCAGGAAAGAGUCUCUUCACAUAACGGUAUGGCUGCGGGCACCUCUCUGGCAUUGGUGUUUCUGGGCUCCUCUCUUCGAGGGCUUGGUGGAGAGCCGAGGUCGGAGGGGAGACACAGCAGAGCCCUUGCUGGGUACAGAAAAACCAGAACGAAGGUUGGAGCCGAAUGAAUGAUUUGCUGCGGUCAUGCAGACCAGCUGUCUUAUUUUCAUAGCAGUGUCUUGAAGGAUGCUAUGACCAACUGCCUAAAAAGGACUAACGCAAGUCAGCUUGAUUGCCGCAGCGCUUUCUGGCAUCAGUCUGUUGUAUUAACGAUGGCUUGCAAACGGAUAAGCCUUUGGGGUUCGGUUAGGUAUUUCUCCCUCGUGCUGGGGAAGCAGCCCGGCUGGACGCAGAGGGCUCGGCUGCGUGCUUGAGAACAGGCUCUCCGCUGCCAAAGCCCCUCCACACCCAAAGCACGUUCUGCGCUGGGAGCAGCGGGAAGUUUGCAUGGAGGGAACAGAUCGUAUUUCUGGGCGUUAGUCUCAUUCAUCUUAUCGUCCAACUUGCUGCCCCUCACUGCUGUAAUUUAGAUGUGGCUUUUUCUGCCCACCUAUUAUUUCACUCCUUUCCAAUUUUCCUCUUUUCUUACCAUUGCAAAUUUGACAGGUCCCUUAACACCUCUACCCCUAGGGCAAUGCCCGAGUUGUACAGGCUUUUCCCUCACAUCCUCUUCUUCCAUUUGUUAAACUGGGACAGGUCUUGUUAACAGCACGAUGCCAUCGCUGGGCUAUGCUGAGAGGGGAUCACCGCGGGACAGGGAAUCUGCUCCUCUAAGUCCCCAACCUUCGGCUGGCUGCAGGCUCGAGCGCGAUCACUGCAGUAAUUUACCUUCCAAACACAGAGGAGUUCUCCAUGUAGGCAAAGGGAACAGAUGCUGCCUUUUAUAUAAGAUUAAAACUUAAUUUCCAUUCAGUCUAUGGAGAGAGGCUGCAGAAACAUACUCAGUGGGCUGGUCCCAUGUCAUUUUUUUGAUAUUCCCAACCUUGCCCUAUCGCUUUGUUACUUACCUCUUCACAGAACCACAGUUAGGGCUUCAUAGUCAAGCUGAAAUAAUUCAGAUUUAAGGUCAAUUUUCUCUCCACGCACAUUCUUUAAUUUUGGCAAAGACUGUUGGAUUUGGCCUGAAAACUCCCAUGCUUGGGCAUGAGCCAAGGGGAGGGGGGGCAGCCUUUUCAAAGUGGGAAUAUUUGUAAAGCGUUUGCUAACACCAGUGGGAAGCAAAAUUCAAACCUAUAAAUACACAGCCAGGAUAAGAAACUUCAGAAAGGGAGCGUGUGCGGUAUUCACCAAGGCAACCCAAUACCACUUCUGAGCACGUGCCCUCUCCCCAAGCCCUUUUUAGAUGGUGCCCAGGACCCAGACCCUUCACGUGGCAGUGCAGGGUAUACUCCCACCGUCGCUGUAACCGCCUUACAUGCACAGGCUCAUCCUGUUCUGAAGGCAAACUGGAAGAGUCGUACUUUACAAACGGCAUGAACACAUCAGGAAUUUCUGCUGGGCGCUUCUCUUUGCUGAUAAAUGUUUCUUUCUUCUGCAGGAUGAUAUGGUAUAUCUUAUAUACUUUCCUUUGUAUUUCUUGGCAUGAGAAAAAAAAUAAAAUGUAACAUGCAUGGUCAAA